rnacentral:rRNA from 1 species
GAUGAACGCUAGCGGCAGGCUUAAUACAUGCAAGGCGAGGGGGCAGCAAUGUCACCGUCGUACGGGUGCGUAACGCGUAUGCAACCUACCUUCAACUGGGGGAUAGCCCGGGGAAACCCGGAUUAAUACCGCAUGACACAUUGGUAUAGCAUUAUAUUAAUUGUUAAAGAUUUAUUGGUUGAAGAUGGGCAUGCGUUCGA